UACGUAGGGCGCAAGCGUUGUCCGGAAUUAUUGGGCGUAAAGAGCUCGUAGGCGGCCUGUUGCGUCCGCUGUGAAAUCCCGGGGCUCAACCCCGGGCCUGCAGUGGAUACGGGCUGGCUGGAGGCAGGCAGGGGAGAACGGAAUUCCUGGUGUAGCGGUGAAAUGCGUAGAGAUCCGGAGGAACACCAGUGGCGAAAGCGGCCACCUGGACUGUACCUGACGCUGAAACGCGAAAGCUAGGGGAGCGAACGGG
rnacentral:rRNA from 1 species